AAAGAUUUAGUUUAUACAAAACAUAAAAUUGUCAAUUUUAAAAAACUAUAUUAGUAAUCUUUU
rnacentral:tRNA from 2 species